AAGCUUGCUUCCACUGAGAAGAUAGUGGCGAACGGGUGGAGUAACACGUGGGUAACCUGCCCAUAAGAGGGGGAGUAACAUCCGGAAACGGGUGCUAAUACCGCAUAGUUUUCUUGAUCGCAUGAUCGGGAAAGGAAAGACGGCCUUUGUGCUGUCGCUUAUGGAUGGACCCGCGGCGUAUUAGUUAGUUGGUGAGGUAACGGCUCACCAAGACGAUGAUACGUAGCCGACCUGAGAGGGUGAUCGGCCACAUUGGGACUGAGACACGGCCCAAACUCCUACGGGAGGCAGCAGUAGGGAAUCUUCCGCAAUGGACGAAAGUCUGACGGAGCAACGCCGCGUGAGUGAAGAAGGUUUUCGGGUAAUCGUAAAAACUCUGUUGUCAGAGAAGAACAAGUUGGAGAGUAACUGCUCCAGCCUUGACGGUAUCUGACCAGAAAGCCACGGCUAACUACGUGCCAGCAGCAGC
rnacentral:rRNA from 1 species